GGGUUUCCGGGUCUCAAUUUUCACCUUCCGAAUCCAAAACGCAAAAUCCUUCUAUCUGGCAGUGGCAUGUGUUUGAUCGGCCAUGGUUGAACGCUCUCUACGAUCAAUUAGCUGGAGCUUUGGGCGAACCGCAAGUUUUUGUUUCUGAAGCCAUUGUUCAAUUGUUAGUUCCAUAAUAACCAUUGAAUUUCAUAUAGACCUCAGGCUGAUGUGGAGGAUCCUCUUAGAGGAAGAGGCAAAUAUUUGUCAUUUUGAUGAUACAGUUGAGUUGUU